CUUUAAUAAUUCAAGCUAAGAAAGAAACUCUUUGAAGAUUCAAGAGUGAGUAGGUAUUUUGAAAUGGACUUGGUUAGGCUAUUGCAAAUCUGCUGAUCAAACCAGGCACAGCAAGAGAGUAGUUCCAAAUAAAAUGAGAUUAGAAGUAGCUGCUGCUUCUUAGUAAAUGAGUUUCUACAAAAAAAGUAAUUGUCAUCUGUUUGCUGCUGCUUUCCUACAGAGAGGAAAACAUGGCAGUGUUAUGGUACAAAGCAAAAAAACAUUUCUAGAUCUAGUUGAGCGGUUGAUAGCAAGCUUUGUGCAGCUGAUUGGCAUAGGCAAAGAAAAACAUGUUCAGCGCUGCAUUGGCAAAGGAUAUGCAAUUAAUGACUUACAAUCCAGACUCAGCCUCCUGAGCACAAUUUACUUGGCUUGCCACCUCAUGCUCACGUUUUCUUCCUGAGAACCCCUUGGGUAAGGACACGUGUCCCACAUUAUGGCAUGAGGAGGUGUUUCCUGUACAUUUGCCCUUGGGUUAAGUCCUCCUAUCAACCUGGCUGACAGCAGCUAUUUAAUUAUUUUGGGGAAUAAAUGGAGGAAUUGAAGAUAAUCAAACAAGCCGGUAGCUGAAAUGUUCUCUUCUGUUAAAAAACUUUAAAACUCGUGUGUUUCAGCACUUGUGAACAUAAAGCAUCUCUGAAGAACAAACACAAGUAGGUCAUAACAGCAUGUGAGUCUUAGUUGAUGGAUGCUCACAUCUCACAGAUGUAACAGUUUAGUCCAGUUUUAAAAGUAUCUCAAAAAGUGCAAAGUCUGCAAGGCACUGUGGAAAGCGAAUUGAUUUCUUGUCUCUAAAGGAAGUUCUGCCACAUGGCAGCUGUGGAGCAAAAUGUAGGCCCCUGCAGCUCCUCCUGUGCCUAGAAGGCCGCAAUCGCAAUUCCCAUAUUCCUGUGCUGCUGAUGGUGGUGUGGGCAGAGGUGGCCUUCUGCUGUGUUUAGAUACUAGUAAAUGCUGUGCUACCCCUCCUGUGGCCCUGUGGGAGCUGGAAGCACUGUACAAUGCAAUCUUCCCUCGGACUGCCCCAUUCUGCCUCCCAGGCCAGGCUUAGGGAGCUGGUGAUGAUAUCGCUGCCCAGACAUUUGCUGCGUGAAGACUCUCUAUACAGAAAGCAUUUUGGCAGCCGCUACCACAGUCCUCUCAGGAGCAAGCUGCAGCUCUGUCUGCAGUUCCAAAGCCGCCCAUGUUUCCAUCCCCUCCAAGUUUCAACACAAGCUCAAUUCACUGUCUAACCUGUAUUUGUGCUUUUGUGUUUUCGGACCUACUGUGGUGCCUCAGCGCAGCCCACAGCCCGAGGGCGGGCCGUAUGGCGGCAGGGGCAGCGGGGCGCCGCGCGCAGGUCGGGCGGCGGGGAGGCGGUGCUGGAAGGUUGCUGCCGGCUGCCCGCCCCAGCGCGGCCGGAGGGAGUCGUCUCGCAGCGGGUGCUUUCUUUAAGGUUUGUUCAUUUGUUUAUUUUCUCCAGUGACUAAGCAUCUAAUUUGAAUCAACUGUGGGAGAAGAGAGGAUUGAAGGGAAAAGAGCUCAUCCUUGGAGUCGAGCUAUUCCUUCAGGGUGAAGGGCCGGAGGAAAGAAGUUCAGCAGAUGAGGCCCAUUCUGAUUCAAGACUAACUCCUACCCUGGAAUGAGCAGAGAUGAGUCCUACAAGCCUUUCAUCUGCACCAUCCACCCUGUGUGAGGAAAUUCUGACAUCACUCUACCCAACAAGGCCAGGAAGAGAUAAAGACAGCAAACCCUGAUUAAAAAAAAAAAAAGAGAACUGAAUGGAUGCUGAGCAGGACAGACUUGAAUAUGGGGAAUUUCUUGUAGAACAGAGAUGGGCAGAUGUGGAGAUGCAGACAGGACAGAAGAAAUCUCAGUAAAUACAUGUGAUUGUCAGCUAUGCUACUCUCCCUCACUCACUAAAGAUAAGGCACGGGGUGGCCACCUACUAAUCUUUGAUUCUGUUCCUGCUUGGCACACUAGCUCUUUCCAUGUUCUUUUUGCUCUGUACACAAAGGAAUUUGAAGUAUGAGAAACAGAAGUAACUGUUUUUUUUCACUGCUUCCCUGAUAGUCCAUCUGGUGAGGGAAAAAGGAGAAACAGGAGUGUUCUCUGUCACUCCCGAAGUUGUGUCAGCAAUCACACUUCUGCUUUCAGUCUUUACAAAAAAGCCUGGAGUCCUUACUGUGCAUAAAGGCAGAAGACAUGAACGACGCCCUCUGCCCCACAGGCUGACAGCCUCUGAAGUGGUGUGCACCAAAUGUGGGCUACCUCAACCCAUUUUCAAAUGGGUUUAUAAAGUGCUACGCAAAACACCCACAGAAGUACCUAAGACUGGUUUUAAUCCAUGCUUAACCCAUUUCCUUUUGGCUCUGACAGCCAUGUGCCAACUUCUGCACUGAUGCCUGGCACAGCAUUGAGAGCUUUCGCUGUCACUGUGAUACAGCACAAUUCUCCUUCCCUGACUGAAAUCCAAGCAAACAGCUUCUAGGAACAUGAGAAUUACUGAACUUUUCCUUCAGAGAAAGGUGUAAGGAGUUCAAGCUUGCAGUAGACCUUGUUUGGAUUUUCUCAAAUAGGAUAAUAUCACUAAAAUAGAAAAGCCUUCAGAAACAGUUAAAUUAACAUGAUAAACCUCUAUCACUGGAUAUGCUGCAUACCCCAUUUACUGCUCUUACAAACACUCUCCCCCCUUUGUUGAACCUGGAUUCACCAAGGAUUCACCAUUUUGCCAAAAACAUGCAAUGUGCCCUGAGUUAAAUUAAAAAUAAAAAUUCACCGUUCCCUUGCUUUCAAGCAACCCUUGCAAAACACUGUCUUCAAACAGAACAAAAAUGCUACCUUGUAAUAGAAAGGGGCAAUCUUUCAUGUAAAGACUAAUAAAGAUAAAGACUAAUAUGUUCCUUUUAUGGGUCGCAGUAUCACCUCCUAAAAAUCUGUGGACUGGUCUACUUUGUGCGAUUACCUUUAACCAAUAAAAUUGUUUGAAAGGAACAUCCAUCUCUCUCAGAAGUUUAACUGGAACACGACCCUGCUGUGUAUUCACUACAUUGCCUUUUCAGCCAUUGUAAAUUUACUAUUUGGUCUUGAAGAGAUCGCUGUGGACACACAGGGUAUUUUUCUUUCCAUUUUCAAAGAAACGAAUCUGACAUCAAUGCACAGUUGAUACUAAUAAAGGCUGAACAAUCAUGUAAUCAACUCCAUAUUUUGAAGUGACAAAGGUUCAGUCAAAGCCAUCAAGAAUCAAACUGUGUAUGUUGUAGAGGAGAGAAUCUUGGGAUGCCUAAGACAGCUUCCAAAGGAUGUAUGUAUAUCUUCCAAAUUUACUAUGGGGCCUUGUAAAUCUACACACCUCACCAGAAGGUCAUUAUCUGCUCACCCCCUCUUCCAGUAGAUGCAACUGUUUGGUUUCAGGACAUCUGCAAUGUUGUGUGUUCCUAGGCCAAGGCUGAAUUGCUAAUCAAGCUCUGUCAUGACAGUGUUCUGGUUUGGUGUUGUUUUUUUUUUUUAACUUGUUUUUGCUUGUUUGUUUUGUUGUUGUUGUCUGUUUGUUUGUUUUCUUUUAAGAGCUAUGUCACUCUUAACAGACAGCAACUGUAUACACAUCCUUGGUUAUCACAGCUCAAUUUAAAAUAGAGGCACUUCCCU